rnacentral:lncRNA from 1 species
CUAAGCAACCUGAAAUCUCUUUCCAGGCCAUGUCAGAAGACUGGGCUAGAGAGUGCCAUUCAGCCCUGUGUGGAGGGGCCUGGCGGGAGGUGCCCACCAUUGCCCUGGCCGUGCUUGCCAGGUUCCAGUGCCCACAUUCCUGCAGCUUUGGAGGCCUAGGGGAGGCUCUGGGCUGUGGCAGGUGUCAUGGCCCCUCUAGGCCUGCCUUGCACCCUAGCUGGCCCAGCGCUGCAUUGAGCUGCCCCGGCCCCCUCUGCCCUCCCCAUAAGCAAUGCUGGGACCUGGCCUUCCCAUGGCAGCCCCUCCCCUGCUGGGCUACGUGGUUCAGGGACAGGACGCCCUGGCCCCUCGGCCCUACAGCUCAGUCACAGGUCAGUGGGCUGUGCGGGUGCUCUCUGUUCAGACCUCCAGGGCCUGAGCUCCUGAGAUGCCGGGUGCUGACCAGGCCUGUCAGGGAUCUUCCCAGCCACUGGGCCAGGAUGCCAGGGCAUGCUGGAGCCUGCCCGUCUAAUGCCUGGCUCAACCAAGCUGCUUCACAGGUACUGGGGAGCAAUGGUGUGCUUCAGAGCAGAGGAGGGGGCAUGUCAGAUGUGUGUUUGAGAUGCUCUCUUGGCAGCCAGGAUGGAGACAAGGUGAGUUGGGGAGCCAGGAAUGGGACAGGUGAGGAGGAGUCAGCACUGGAGUAGGGGCCGGUAGGGCUCAGAGUGGAUAGAUGUUUAGGAGGUUGAAUUGAUCAGAGAGGGAGGGAAAGAGGUGGCUCCUGAGCCUGAACUGCCAGGGGAGGGGUGCCUCUGAGAGAUGGAGGUCCCAGGCCACCGGAGACCCGCAUCGCACUUUGGAGAAGAGCCGGGGCUGGGGACAGAGGCAUGUACAGGGUGGCAUCACCGCCCUGCUCCCGGGAUGGGGAGACCAAGGCUGGGGAAGGGGCUUAGGGAUUGUCAGGAUCUCUAGCACAGAGCUGGUGACCAAGCUGUGGGCAUCAUGAGUGUCCAGGAGGAAAGAUCAGAUCCCAGGUGAGAGAAGAGGGCUCAGGGAAAGGAUGAAUUGUGGGCAGAGAAGAGAGGAAGACCUCCCUGGGGCAGCCAUGGGACGGGAGCCAGGUGGAGUGUGGCCUCCGGGAUGGGGGUGGUGUACGCACCCACACAGGGUUGGCCUGGUGGGCCAGGGCCAGGCUGCACGGGCUGAGAGAAGCUGACGGCCUUGUCUGUGACCUCCAGGACCCCUGGGUCUGCCUCUGUGGGCCCCUAAUCCUAGGCUCACAGACCUGCCAGCCUCCGUGCGUGCUGGCCUGUGCCUGGUGGGCACGGCUGGUGCAGGCUCCAAGGGGGCCUGGCAAAGCCUGGAGUUGGCCC